CCUACGGGGCGCUGCAGUGGGGAAUAUUGCACAAUGGGGGAAACCCUGAUGCAGCGACGCCGCGUGAGUGAAGAAGUAUUUCGGUACGUAAAGCUCUAUCAGCAGGGAAGAAAAUGACGGUACCUGACUAAGAAGCCCCGGCUAACUACGUGCCAGCAGCCGCGGUAAUACGUAGGGGGCAAGCGUUAUCCGGAUUUACUGGGUGUAAAGGGAGCGUAGACGGCAGCGCAAGUCUGGAGUGAAAUCCCAUGGCUUAACCAUGGAACUGCUUUGGAAACUGUGCAGCUAGAGUGCAGGAGAGGUAAGCGGAAUUCCUAGUGUAGCGGUGAAAUGCGUAGAUAUUAGGAGGAACACCAGUGGCGAAGGCGGCUUACUGGACUGUAACUGACGUUGAGGCUCGAAAGCGUGGGGAGCAAACAGGAUUAGAUACCUGGGUAGUC
rnacentral:rRNA from 1 species